GCCCCCGUUGUCUAAUGGUUAUGACGUCAGACUUCUACUGUAUAGGAUCUGGAGGUUGCGGGUUCGAGUCCCGCCGGGGGUU